GAUGAACGCUGGCGGCGUGCCUAAUACAUGCAAGUCGAGCGAACAGAUGCUGCGCUUGCUCCUCUCACGUUAGCGGCGGACGUGUGAGUCACACGUGGAUAACCUACCUAUCUUACUGGGAUCACUUCGGGAAACCGGCUCUAAUCCCGUAUAAUAUAUUGAACCGCAUUGUUCAAUAGUGAAAGACGGUUUUGCUGUCACUUCUAGAUGGAUCCGCGCCGUAUUAGCUAGUUGGUAAGGUAACGGCUUACCAAGGCAACGAUGCGUAGCCGACCUGAGAGGGGGAUCGGCCACACUGGAAGGGAGACACGGUCCAGACUACUACGGGAGGGAGCAGUAGGGAAUGGUACGCAAUGGGCGAAAGCCUGACGGAGCAACGGCGAGUGAGUGAUGAAGGUCUUCGGAGCGUAAUACCCGGUUAUUAGGGAAGAACAAAUGUGUAAGGAACUAUGCACGGCGUGACGGUAACGAAUCAGAAAGCCACGGCUAACUACGUG
rnacentral:rRNA from 1 species